rnacentral:rRNA from 1 species
AGGCUUACACAUGCAGUCGAGGGGUAACAGAUCUUCGGAUGCUGACGACCGGCGAACGGGUGAGUAACACGUAUGCAACUUACCCAUAACUCGGGAAUAGCCCAAAGAAAUUUGGAUUAAUACCCAAUAAUACAGGCGUACCGCAUGGUAUUCUUCGUUAAAGAAUAAUCGGUUAUGGAUAGGCAUGCGUUCUAUUAGGUAGUUGGUGAGGUAACGGCUCACCAAGCCGACGAUGGAUAGGGGAACUGAGAGGUUGUCCCCCCACACUGGUACUGAGACACGGACCAGACUCCUACGGGAGGCAGCAGUGAGGAAUAUUGGUCAAUGGACGAAAGUCUGAACCAGCCAAAUCGCGUGAAGGAAGAAGGUAUUAUGUAUCGUAAACUUCUUUUGUAAGAGAGUAAAGUGCACUACGUGUAGUGUAUUGCAAGUACCUUACGAAUAAGCAUCGGCUAAUUCCGUGCCAGCAGCCGCGGUAAUACGGAAGAUGCAAGUGUUAUCCGGAUUUAUUGGGUUUAAAGGGUGCGUAGGUGGUCUAAUAAGUCAGUGGUGAAAUCUCUUUGCUUAACAAGGAAAUUGCCAUUGAAACUGUUAGACUUGAGAAUGGACGAGGUAGGCGGAAUUCGUAGUGUAGCGGUGAAAUGCAUAGAUAUUACGAAGAACUCCAAUAGUGUAGACUGCUUACCAGACCAUAUCUGACACUAAGGCACGAAAGUGUGGGUAUCAAACAGGAUUAGAUACCCUGGUAGUCCACACAGUAAACGAUGAAUACUAACUGUUUGCGAUAUACAGCAAGUGGUCGAGCGAAAGCGUUAAGUAUUCCACCUGGGAAGUAUGCCGGCACGGUGAAACUCAAGGAAUUGACGGGGGCCCGCACAAGCGGAGGAACAUGUGGUUUAAUUCGAUAAUACGCGAGGAACCUUACCCGGGCUCGAACGAUAUUUGAAUACAUCCGAAAAGAUGUAGCUAGC